UCAUGGGUAGGCUCCGGGCCAGCGCCGCGCGUCCGCUCCCGGUCUUCGCGCCGACGCGAGCAGGCCCACCGUGGGCGCCGCGCACAGGCCUCGAAGGCUAAGGUGGACUGCGCCGGCCCGCCACGCGGCCCUUGAGGACUGCACCGCCCGGGCGAGGGCGAGGGCAGGAGGAAGGGGCAGGGGAGGCGGCAAGCAACCCAGCAGAAGGGGACUCGCCAGGUCAGUCAAAGGCCAGGGCGUUACCAAGGCUGCCCUCCACUCUGCCGUGUGGCCAUUAGCGCACAGUGAUUAAAGAAGCGCGCCCAGUGAGUUUACAAGAGCGCUUGCCACGGCACUCGCGCGUGGACACGACCAGUGGUCACGUUUCGAUCUGUCAGGAAAGCAUCCUCUACCGAGCCUCACGCUCCAGCAACACGCGGAGUCCGCCUGCCUACCAGUCACUGGAUCUGCUAAUUCUGUCUUCCUGACUGAAUCAAGGUUCUUUCUCACGCAGGUUGCCCCAGCUUCUCUCAGUACCAGGGAUCAAACUCAGGACCUGGUGCUUGCCAGGUAGACGCUGCGCUGCUGAGCUACAUCUCCGGCAGUCAUUUGUUUUUCUGACAGCUACCUUUUCUAGCUCUUCUACCUCCGGACCAAGCUAUGUGGUUGUUUCUGGCAAGUGGAUGUAGACAAAAGUAGCUCAUCCAAUAUAGCACUGUCAAAAAGACAAGCACACAGAGGAGGAGGGUUCCAGGUCACCUUACCACUGCUCCCAACACAGAGGAGGAGGCUUCUGGGUUGCCAGGGCACCGCUCCCAGCACAGAGGAGGUGAGCCGAGUGGGCUCCAGCAGCACUCCCCCUACCCCGGAUCGAAAUGAGAAAACAUGUAAACAAGCCUCAAAACCAGACUUCCAGAUCACCUAUAGCAACCCCAAAGUGAGCUUUGAACUGAGGAGUGUUCUACCACUGAGCUGUAAUCCUCCACCAUUUUAUAAUCUUAUUUUGAGGGAAGUCUUGCUAAAGUUGUCCAAGCAGGCCUCACACUUGCAACACUUCUGCCCCCAUCUCCUGAGCAGCUGGGAUGACAGGUGUGUGGCCCCACACCCAGCUAAUAUGGAGCUUGUGCUAGUAUUACUUCCUGCUUCUUGUGGCCAGUGCUUUCUUUCUUCAUGUUGGUAAGUUCACUUUCAGUAAGUUCCUCUGGAUAGCAAUGUCAAUAUUCCUGCAGUCAGCAACUGAUCCUAUAAUUCCAUUUAUGUUCAAUUUGAAUUUCACUUCCAGCUGAAAUCAUUUCUGUAUUAUUUUCUGCACUUUCAUAUCAGUUAGCCAAGUAUCUCUUUUGAUUACUCUAUUUUUGUAAAACAUCACGUGGAUUUAUCACUGAGGUACAAGGACUUCCAUUAUAUUAAAUUCUGUGUUAGCUAAUAUUCUACUAAUCAGAAUAAACUGUUUAUCCAUUCAUUCAAUAAAUGUGGGUUAGGCAGUGUACCACAUGCUUGGAAUUGUAUCUUACCCAUAAAUAAAACAGGCAAUAAUCUUGUC